AGUAAAUUGGUUAAGUUAGAAAGGGCGCACGGUGGAUGCCUUGGCACUAGGAGCCGAAGAAGGACGGGACUAACACCGAUAUGCUUUGGGGAGCUGUACGUAAGCGUUGAUCCAGAGAUUUCCGAAUGGGGGAACCCACUAUCUUUAGUCGGAUAGUAUCCUUACGUGAAUACAUAGCGUGAGGAAGGCAGACCCAGGGAACUGAAACAUCUAAGUACCUGGAGGAAGAGAAAGAAAAAUCGAUUUCCUGAGUAGCGGCGAGCGAAACGGAAAGAGCCCAAACCGAGAAGCUUGGUUCUUGGGGUUGUGGGACACUCUAUACGGAGUGACAAAAGAAAGUUAUAAAUGAGGCGGUCUGGAAAGGCGCGCCAAAGACGGUAACAGCCCGGUAGUUGAAAUGGCUUUCCCUCCAGAGUUGAUCCUGAGUACGGC
rnacentral:rRNA from 1 species